UGGAUAGCCGGCUGCUAAAAAUAUAGAAGACGCGUUAGGGUGCUGUUUUUUCGGAAUUCCUAAUUUAUAGGUUUUAGGAGACCCAUUAGAGAUGCUCUAACUUACAUGACUCAGCAUGAUUUCGGAGUUUUGCUCAUACAAUUAGUCAUAUUGUAUAGACUGCAGUUUGAAGUCGCUUGUAUAUCACAGUCCAGGUAAAGAGCCUGACUGUAGAUGGAAUUUUGCUUUUCCAAAUCUACUUGAAGGGGAUGGGGGGCAGGAGCCUGUGCAACUUGAGCUGUAUGGGUGCUUUCCAGGCAGCUGCUUGUACAUGCUCUCCACAGUGUAGUGAACAUGUUUUGAACCAUCCCAACACCAAAAAGUCCUUGCAGUCAGAGAAAUUUUGCCUUUGCAAAAUGGACAGAGAAUUUCUUUUGCUUCUAACUCCCUGCAGUUUUAAAAAGAAAAGACAGCCAAACCAUUUACACCUGGGUCAGGUGCAUGGAUAGCACCUUCAGGAUUCAGUAACGGUAGAAAAAAAAAAAAACAAGAAAACUAAAAAUAAGGACAUACCAACUCUUCGGAGAAUUCCCGCAUCACCAAAUCUGCAAAACUGUGAUGUUUCGUCACCUGCAC
rnacentral:lncRNA from 1 species